AGGGGUGUAGUUCAAUUGGUAGAGCAUCGGUCUCCAAAACCGAAAGUUAGGGGUUCAAUUCCCUUCGCCCCUG
rnacentral:tRNA from 1 species